rnacentral:rRNA from 1 species
AGUGAACGCUGGCGGUAGGCCUAACACAUGCAAGUCGAACGGCAGCACAGUAAGAGCUUGCUCUUACGGGUGGCGAGUGGCGGACGGGUGAGGAAUACAUCGGAAUCUACUUUUUCGUGGGGGAUAACGUAGGGAAACUUACGCUAUUACCGCAUACGACCUACGGGUGAAAGCAGGGGAUCUUCGGACUUUGCGCGAUUGAAUGAGCCGAUGUCGGAUUAGCUAGUUGGGGGGGUAAAGGCCCACCAAGGCGACGAUCCGUAGCUGGUCUGAGAGGAUGAUCAGCCACACUGGAACUGAGACACGGUCCAGACUCCUACGGGAGGCAGCAGUGGGGAAUAUUGGACAAUGGGCGCAAGCCUGAUCCAGCCAUACCGCGUGGGUGAAGAAGGCCUUCGGGUUGUAAAGCCCUUUUGUUGGGAAAGAAAAGCAGCAGGUUAAUACCCCGCUGUUCUGACGGUACCCAAAGAAUAAGCACCGGCUAACUUCGUG